UACGUAGGGGGCUAGCGUUGUCCGGAAUCAUUGGGCGUAAAGCGCGCGUAGGCGGCCCGGUAAGUCCGUUGUAAAAGUCAAAGGCUCAACCUUUGAAAGCCGAUGGAUACUGCCGGGCUAGAGUCCGGAAGAGGCGAGUGGAAUUCCUGGUGUAGCGGUGGAAUGCGUAGAGAUCCGGAAGAACACCGGAGGCGAAGGCGGGUUGCUGGGCUGAUACUGACGCUGAGGCGCGAAAGCUAGGGGAGCGAACGGG
rnacentral:rRNA from 1 species